rnacentral:rRNA from 1 species
GCUAGCUACAGGCUUAACACAUGCAAGUCGAGGGGCAGCAUGGUCUUAGCUUGCUAAGGCCGAUGGCGACCGGCGCACGGGUGAGUAACACGUAUCCAACCUGCCGUCUACUCUUGGACAGCCUUCUGGAAGGAAGAUUAAUACAAGAUGGCAUCAUGAGUCCGCAUGUUCACAUGAUUAAAGGUAUUCCGGUAGACGAUGGGGAUGCGUUCCAUUAGAUAGUAGGCGGGGUAACGGCCCACCUAGUCUUCGAUGGAUAGGGGUUCUGAGAGGAAGGUCCCCCACAUUGGAACUGAGACACGGUCCAAACUCCUACGGGAGGCAGCAGUGAGGAAUAUUGGUCAAUGGGCGAGAGCCUGAACCAGCCAAGUAGCGUGAAGGAUGACUGCCCUAUGGGUUGUAAACUUCUUUUAUAAAGGAAUAAAGUCGGGUAUGGAUACCCGUUUGCAUGUACUUUAUGAAUAAGGAUCGGCUAACUCCGUGCCAGCAGCCGCGGUAAUACGGAGGAUCCGAGCGUUAUCCGGAUUUAUUGGGUUUAAAGGGAGCGUAGAUGGAUGUUUAAGUCAGUUGUGAAAGUUUGCGGCUCAACCGUAAAAUUGCAGUUGAUACUGGAUAUCUUGAGUGCAGUUGAGGCAGGCGGAAUUCGUGGUGUAGCGGUGAAAUGCUUAGAUAUCACGAAGAACUCCGAUUGCGAAGGCAGCCUGCUAAGCUGCAACUGACAUUGAGGCUCGAAAGUGUGGGUAUCAAACAGGAUUAGAUACCCUGGUAGUCCACACGGUAAACGAUGAAUACUCGCUGUUUGCGAUAUACUGCAAGCGGCCAAGCGAAAGCGUUAAGUAUUCCACCUGGGGAGUACGCCGGCAACGGUGAAACUCAAAGGAAUUGACGGGGGCCCGCACAAGCGGAGGAACAUGUGGUUUAAUUCGAUGAUACGCGAGGAACCUUACCCGGGCUUAAAUUGCAGAUGAAUUACGGUGAAAGCCGUAAGCCGCAAGGCAUCUGUGAAGGUGCUGCAUGGUUGUCGUCAGCUCGUGCCGUGAGGUGUCGGCUUAAGUGCCAUAACGAGCGCAACCCUUGUUGUCAGUUACUAACAGGUUCCGCUGAGGACUCUGACAAGACUGCCAUCGUAAGAUGUGAGGAAGGUGGGGAUGACGUCAAAUCAGCACGGCCCUUACGUCCGGGGCUACACACGUGUUACAAUGGGGGGUACAGAGGGCCGCUACCACGCGAGUGGAUGCCAAUCCCCAAAACCUCUCUCAGUUCGGACUGGAGUCUGCAACCCGACUCCACGAAGCUGGAUUCGCUAGUAAUCGCGCAUCAGCCACGGCGCGGUGAAUACGUUCCCGGGCCUUGUACACACCGCCCGUCAAGCCAUGGGAGCCGGGGGUACCUGAAGUGCGUAACCGCGAGGAGCGCCCUAGGGUAAAACUGGAGA